CAGCGUUUCUCACUGCUGCAUCUCUGUGAUGGGAGAAAAUUAAGUUUCAUGAAAGCUGUCUCGUGAGGCUUGUGCUUCUGAACUGUGUGAGCCGGGUGCUCUAGUGCAGUUCUUGGGGGAAGUUGGAGGUUGGCUUGGGGUGAGGCACCCUUGUCUGUGUUUUGGCAGGGUCACUACUGUGCGUGAAUGGAGCUAAAAGAAAGUUUCACAGAAAGAGGCUCAGUGAAAGGCAUGUGUAGAAUGCGACUAUGCUCCAGCAAUGGAAAAAGACAGAGUACAGAGACAGAAAGAAAUACCUUGGGAUGAAAUUGCUGAUGGCAUCAAAAGACACAAGCUCUUGCAUCUUUUGAUACAAAUUUUUGUGACUCUCAGUGGAUAACACAGCCAAGGAUAUAAUCAAGGUAUUAUAAACAUACGCACACACACACACACACGGCUACAGUGCUUUCCUUGGGGGGGGAAAAAAAAAAGCAACUAAAAAUAUUUUUAAAAAUACUGCUUUAAAGGGCAUUCUCUAGUGAAUUAAGGAACUCACAAAGUCUAAAUAUGAUGGCAUGUAUUUGAAGUUGUGCCGUGUUGAAAAUUAUAUGAAAAUGUUACUAGACCCCCAAAUUUAAGGAUAACUGACUAGGACGCUCAUUCAGGCAUCAUGCGGUCAAACUGAUGGAAAUCAAUACCUGUCUGAAAGGGGCUUAAUGUUGUUUAAUGUUUGCUGUCUGAGUCUGAACUGUAUUUGGCUCGACUGAGAAAGCCAGUCACUCAGAUUCCAAUGUUCUUAAUGUCUUUCUCUGAAAAAGGGGUUUGAUAUUCUUCUGCCUACUCCAUUAAGCAUCCCUCCCACUCCAGCCUACAGUAAUCUCAGAAUCUUUCACGGGACUUGGAGGUUAUGCCUGCCGGUGUCUGAGGUCAUUUGUUAAUCUGAUGGUAAUGCUUUAAUCCCUGCAUGAGCAUACAAUAUAUACUAAUAGACUGCUUGCUUCCUGCUUGAAAGCCACAGGUUUUAAACUGCAAAGCCACAAUCCUACAGACUUGAUUUCCUCUUCUAUGCAGCUUUCAAGGGUUUAAAUAAACCUUGGAGUCGCCUUGGAUUCAUUUUACUGCUUAGUUAAAGUUAUACAUAAGAUGCUUCAAAUGAUGUACGCACAAUAACUACAGAAAAUGCAAUUAAGGCCUUAUGAUUGCUGGUAGUUUCGAAAGCAUAAAAACUGUAAGUCUUAAAUCAGUGGAACUGGUUGUGAUGAAAUACUGUUUUUGGACUCGAGUCCAAUAUUAGCGAGGACAAUUUUAAUUGUUAGACCCUUGGAGGGAGCAUGGCAACUUGUCUAACCAAAGGUUUGCCAUUCCUGAAUCCCACUGGGUGCCACUAAAAGCUUUUUUCCAUUUUUUUUUUUUUUUUUUUACAUUUUUAAUGCAAGACACAUUUUGAUGUGGAUACUGUACCUAGGCUACUACAUUUUCCUUAUUGUAGAGUGAACAUAGCCUAAAUAAAGUGUAUGUUUACAAGCUGUAAAUAAAGAUAUAUCAUACAUGUUGA